AUUGAACGCUGGCGGCAGGCCUAACACAUGCAAGUCGAGCGAGCGGCGGACGGGUGAGUAAUGUAUGGGGACUCCCCGAUAGAGGGGGAUAACUCCUGGAAACGGUAGCUAAUACCGCAUACUAUCGCAUAAUGCAUAUGGGAUUGGCUAGUAGGUGAGGUAUGGGCGCACCUAGGCGACGAUCCCUAGCUGGUCUGAGAGGAUGAUCAGCCACACUGGGACUGAGACACGGCCCAGACUCCUACGGAGGCAGCAGUGGGGAAUAUUGCACAAUGGGCGCAAGCCUGAUGCAGCCAUCCCGCGUGUAUGAUGAAGGCCUUCGGGUUGUAAAGUACUUUUGGCAGAGAAGCGGUAUCUGCAGAAUAAGCACCGGCUAACUACGUGCCAGCAGCCGCGGUAAUUC
rnacentral:rRNA from 1 species